UAAGGAAUAUUGCUCAAUGGGAGAAAUCCUGAAGCAGCAACGCCGCGUGGAGGAUGAAGGGUCUAUGACUUGUAAACUCCUGUAAAGAAGGAAAAAAUUCCCAUUUGAUGGGAGAUGAUGGUACUUCUGGAGUAAGCCCCGGCUAACUACGUGCCAGCAGCCGCGGUAAUACGUAGGGGGCAAGCGUUGUCCGGAUUUACUGGGUGUAAAGGGUGCUCAGGCGGAUUUGUAAGUCAGAGGUGAAAUCUUACAGCUUAACUGUGAAACUGCCUUUGAUACUGCAAGCCUAGAGUAUGAAAGAGAGUGAUGGAAUAUCUGGUGUAGCAGUGAAAUGCGUAGAUAUCAGAUAGAACACCAAUGGCGAAGGCAGUCACUUGGUCCAUUACUGACGCUAAAGCACGAAAGCGUGGGUAGCAAACA
rnacentral:rRNA from 1 species